rnacentral:rRNA from 1 species
CCUACGGGGGGCUGCAGUGGGGAAUAUUGGACAAUGGGGGGAACCCUGAUCCAGCCAUGCCGCGUGUGUGAAGAAGGCCCUCGGGUUGUAAGCACUUUCAGUGAGGAAGAACGCCUGGUGGUUAAUACCCAUCAGGAAAGACAUCACUCACAGAAGAAGCACCGGCUAACUCCGUGCCAGCAGCCGCGGUAAUACGGAGGGUGCGAGCGUUAAUCGGAAUUACUGGGCGUAAAGCGCGCGUAGGUGGCUUGAUAAGCCGGUUGUGAAAGCCCCGGGCUCAACCUGGGAACGGCAUCCGGAACUGUCAAGCUAGAGUGCAGGAGAGGAAGGUAGAAUUCCCGGUGUAGCGGUGAAAUGCGUAGAGAUCGGGAGGAAUACCAGUGGCGAAGGCGGCCUUCUGGACUGAAACUGACACUGAGGUGCGAAAGCGUGGGUAGCAAACAGGAUUAGAUACCCUAGUAGUC